UGGGGAAUAUUGGACAAUGGGCGAAAGCCUGAUCCAGCCAUGCCGCGUGUGUGAAGAAGGUCUUCGGAUUGUAAAGCACUUUAAGUUGGGAGGAAGGGCCAUUACCUAAUACGUGAUGGUUUUGACGUUACCGACAGAAUAAGCACCGGCUAACUCUGUGCCAGCAGCCGCGGUAAUACAGAGGGUGCAAGCGUUAAUCGGAAUUACUGGGCGUAAAGCGCGCGUAGGUGGUUUGUUAAGUUGGAUGUGAAAUCCCCGGGCUCAACCUGGGAACUGCAUUCAAAACUGACAAGCUAGAGUAUGGUAGAGGGUGGUGGAACUUCCUGUGUAGCGGUGAAAUGCGUAGAUAUAGGAAGGAACACCAGUGGCGAAGGCGACCACCUGGACUGAUACUGACACUGAGGUGCGAAAGCGUGGGGAGCAAACAGGAUUAGAUACCCAGGUAGUCCCUGAGCGGGCUGGCAAGGCGCAU
rnacentral:rRNA from 1 species